UACGGAGGGUGCGAGCGUUGUCCGGAAUCACUGGGCGUAAAGGGCGCGUAGGUGGCAGCGUAAGCGUGUGGUGAAAGCUCGGGGCUCAACCCUGAGUCGGCCAUGCGAACUGCGUUGCUCGAGCACUGUAGAGGCAGACGGAAUUCCGGGUGUAGCGGUGGAAUGCGUAGAGAUCCGGAAGAACACCGGUGGCGAAGGCGGUCUGCUGGGCAGUUGCUGACACUGAGGCGCGACAGCGUGGGGAGCAAACAGGAUUAGAAACCCCCGUAGUCC
rnacentral:rRNA from 1 species